GUUUCGCAUUUUUCUCUCUCUCUGUAAUCUGAAACUCUGGACAUUUCCCGGAAGAAUCCAGUGGAGAGCCGCCAGAAAAGGGAGAAAUCGAGAGAGGGAAGCAACCAAACUCCGGAUUGGAGCCACACAGUGGGAAAGCAAACACUGGGUAGCUACUGCAGGAAUAGAUCGGAUAAACCCCCCAUCAAAUGUGUGCCCGGAAAGCAACUAGAUUGAAAAAGUUUUCUUUACAAAAUAGAACAAAACCAAAUUCAAACUGAAGCCAUGGACGACAGCACAGAGGAGGAGAGCUGCACUGUGAAACAUGAACUGAAAAAUGCAAACCUAACGGGACACACAGAGAAAGUGGGAAUCGGGAACUUCGAGCUUCUAAAGGUCCUGGGAACAGGAGGUGAGGUCCAAACAGGUUA